rnacentral:rRNA from 1 species
UACGUAGGUGGCAAGCGUUGUCCGGAUUUACUGGGCGUAAAGGGCGUGCAGGCGGUUUGUUAAGUGCAGGGUGAAAGCUCCCGGCUCAACUGGGAGAGGUCCUUGCAUACUGGCAAACUCGAGGGAGGCAGAGGAAAGUGGAAUUCCCGGUGUAGUGGUGAUAUGCGUAGAUAUCGGGGAGGAACACCGGUGGCGAAGGCGGCUCGCUGGGCAGUGGCUGACGCUGAGGCGCGACAGCGUGGGGAGCAAACAGG